AUUGAACGCUGGCGGCAGGCUUAACACAUGCAAGUUGAGCGGGGGACAGUAUUUAGGUACUGACCUUAGCGGCGGACGGGUGAGUAAUACUUAGGAUCCUGCCUAUUAGUGGGGGACAACAUCCCGAAAGUGAUGCUAAUACCGCGUACGUCCUAGGGGAGGACGCAGGGGCUCUUUAUGACCUUGCGCUAAUAGAUGAGCCUAAGGGGGAUGAGCUAGUUGGGGGGGUAAAGGCCUACCAAGGCGACGAUCUGUAGCGGGUCAGAGAGGAUGAUCCGCCACGCUGGGACGGAGACACGGCCGAGGCUCCUACGGGAGGCAGCAGGGGGGAAUAUUGGACAAUGGGGGGAACCCUGAUCCAGCCAUGCCGCGUGUGUGAAGAAGGCCUUAUGGUUGUACAGCACUUUAAGCGAGGAGGAGGCUCUUUUUGUUAAUACCCAAGAUGAGUGGACGUUACUCGCAGAAUAAGCACCGGCUAACUCUGUGCCAGCAGCCGCGGUAA
rnacentral:rRNA from 1 species